rnacentral:lncRNA from 1 species
GCACUUGACUUAAACUCAGAGGACAUCUUGCGUGAGUCAGUUCUCUGCUUCCACCACUUAGCUCUGUGAAGGAUUUGCUGGUAUUCUUUUCUCAAGAAGCCCCACCCCCAACCCUCCCGGGUUUACUGAGACGGAUCUGGAUGUGUAACCCAGAGUAAGGAUCCUGCAUUUCCCCACACCUUCACAGUAUCAGCCUUCAGCGAGUCGUAAAUGAAGCUGAGGUAAGCAAGCCCCAAUUCACUCACAGGCAGAUUUCUGAAAAGUGACCACUCUCCCUUUUACCUAUUGCAAUGCCCGGGAGGAUGGGAGGCAUCCCUGAGUGACCCAAGGCUUAGUAUCUACAGAAUGUCUUUCAACUCAUGAAAUUGGGAAAAUCUUCACAUCACAGGAGUAAAUAAGAGAAGUAGCACAGAGCUGUUUUUGUUCUUGUUCUGUGGAAUGCCGUUUUCUGUCUUUACCCUCCCUCUACUGUC